ACGCUCUGGAUGACUCACACUAUCCCGUUUGGGGAAAAGAAUUGUGAUCCCCUUUUUAUGGCAGCUCCAAGGGCAUGUCAAUUUGCCUGCAAAUGAGGACUUCUACCUUUUGUUUCCAGACUCCAGACUUUUACAGACCUGAGUUCGUCCAACAGUGAUUCACCAUGAUUUUUAGAAACACAGAUUGCCAAGCUCCGCCCCCAGAUUUUACGAUUCAGUGGGUUCCGUGUGGCUUCCAGGAAAUCCUCAUUUUUAAAAAUCAUCUCAGGAGAUUUCCAGUGGGUAGAGGAAUGAAAAGUCAGUCGGUUUUCUUUAUUCGUCUGCUGGGUGAUGGGUGAGUAGUUGGUUGCCCUCUGUACCACCCAGGUGAGUAUCGGGCAAGGGGAAUGAGUCCUGGGUACUUUGCACGAGUGAGGUCUUCCUGGGCAUCCACGGAGGUGGGUAUUGUCCUCACCCUUAUUUUACAGGUGGGGAAAUGGAGGCUCAGAGAGAUCAUGCACCAAUGUCAACUGAGGUUGUCAGCGGCAGAGUCUUGAUUUAUAGCCAGGUGUCUCUAACCGCAAGGCCCGUUUGUCUUCCUCUGGGACAGAGAGGAUGAGUUAUAAAGGAGAAUUAAAAUGAUUUGUCCAGUGGUGAAAUCAGGGCUUUGGAGACUGGCUUGGGUCCCCCCAGGGGCCAGGCCACCAUUCCCGCAGUCAGGGCGGCUCUGCGCAUCUCCCUCCUGAGAGAGGAGACUGCAUACCCGCCCUGGUCUGCUGUGGCCUGGCAUUGACCUCUCAGAUGCCACCAAGCACGCAGGGCCUCAGCUCCUUAGAGGGGCUGCUUCCCACCCAACAAAGGCUUCAUGCGUCCUGGAGUCCACCCCUCCAGCUCUGCCUUCAAGCCUUUGAGUCAGACAGUUGCUCUUUCCAUUUGAACUGUGCUCCCGGAUGUUAGAUGUAGCCAGGCCAGACCCCUGGGUGGCCAGGGGAAAGUGCAAUGGCCCCUGGGAACAGAAGACACAGUCCCAGCCCCGGGGAAGGACCUCCCUGCAGGUCUGGAAGCUGGUGCAUACGCCUGAGACACAGUCAAGCCACAGUGCAUCACAGUGGAAACAUUAACACGGAGAUUUGUCAACAGGUGUUCAUGGCAAAGUAGACCAGACUAGACUGGAUGGCCAGGGAGUCUGGAGCAAGGGGUGUCGGAAGAGAGGUCAGGAGAGAAUUCCAGAAAGGUGUUUAGCCUUGAGUAUGCAUACAAAGAAAGAGGGGGCAUAGACAGAUUGACUGCGUGCGUAUGUAUUAAGUCACUUCAGUCGUGUUCAACUCUGUGCAACCCUAUGGACCGUAGUCUGCCGGGCUCCUCUGUCCAUGGAAUUCUUCAGGCAAGAAUACUAGAGUGGGAUGCUGUGACCUCCUCCGAGGGAUCUUCCCAACACAGGGAUGGAACGCAGGCAGGACGAGAAGGGGGCGGCAGAGGAUGAGAUGGCUGGAUGGUGUCACCGGCUCAAUGGACAUGAGCUUGAACAACCUUCAGGAGAUAGUGAAGGACAGGGAAUCCUGGCGUGCUGCAGCCCACGGGGUCACAGAGAGGUGGACACAACUUAGUGGCUGGACAAUAACAUGCUGAGGCCAACAGAUCGGGAGGUGCGGCUACUGGAAAGACGGCUUGUUGUUCAUAGUUCUCUAGAGGAGCCCCAUCCAAGUGCCAUUCAGGGCCGUGUGAGGAAGCACCAGGGCCAGCAGGAGGCGGAGCGGGGAGGGAAAGAGGGAGCCAGAGACUUUGUCCUGUCUUUCGUGUGAAGGGCUGGGGAAGACAGGGUAAGCAGAAGAGCAGGGGUCCUGAGGCUAUUUUAAUUUGUCACCUCCCCGGUCCUGCAGUGAUUCAGUUCAGUCGCUCAGUCAGGUCCGACUCUUUGUGACCCCAUGGACUGCAGCACGCCAGGCCUCCCUGUCCAUUGCCAAUCCCCAGAGUUUACGCAAACUCAUGUUCAUUGAGUUGGUGAUGCCAUCCAACCAUCUCAUCCUCUAUUGCCCCCUUCUCCCGCCUUCGAUCUUUCCAUCAGGGUCUUUUCCAGUGAGUCAGUUAUUCGCAUCAGGUGGCCAAAGGAUUGGAGUUUCAGCUUCAGCAUCAGUCCUUCCAAUGAACACCCAAGACUGAUCUCCUUUAGGAUGGACUGGUUGGAUUUCCUUGCAGUCCAAGGGACUCUCAAGAGUCUUCUCCAACACCACAGUUCAAAAGCAUCAAUUCUUAGGCACUCAGCUUUCUCCUGGAGUGAUUAGGGUAGGGGAAUAUUGGCCCUGGGGUGUAAGAGCCCUGUGAGAGCCUAGAAGGAGGUGGUUGGAGGAAGCCUUUGGGUUCAUUUGCAUACGAUAAGUGUGCUCCUGGGUGAGUCAUUUGCCAUUGCUAGGAACUAGCUAAACUUGGGAGCUCACAGUCAGCUCAGAAGGCCCAGAUGACAGAGGGUGGAAAAUAUAGAAAAUAAGAGGAUAUAGUUACUACAGGGAGUUGGAGCCAGAAGUGGGAGAGUAGGGGCUUUGGGGCCUCUCAGAGGCAGCUGGCUCCCCCAAAGGCGGUGGGGAGUGAGCUUCAGUCACUAACCUAAGUCUAAUCCCAUCCGGCAGGUGAACACAGCACUCCUGCCAGCAGACUUCAAACUCCAUAAAUUACAGCUUUUUUUUCCCCUCCAGUCCAUUUGGAAAAAGUGAAAUGAACAAAUGAAGACAGGAGCGAAAUUAAAAGAUAAUUGGAAGUCUAUAUCAGGCUUCUGUGGAUGUGCGCACACGCCGCCAAUCUGGUCUCUCUGUGCGGGCAGGAUAAAUUGAGAACUCUUUGGCUGGCUCAGGGGGUGGAUAAAACAGAGACAAAUGCGUGCCAUGCAAAUAAACGACCCAUCUUCCCGUGACUGGCUUUGCGUCCCCCUGCUGGCGCCUCCUCUGGUCCCCUCGGUCUGACGGGCCUGUGUGUUCCAAGGUGGAAGUCGAUCCCAGAGCCCUACAGGGGAGGCAAGACCCAGUCCAUGGAUAAGAAAACAGGCUCAGUUUCUUAUUCAAGGUCAAG
ensembl:lncRNA